rnacentral:rRNA from 1 species
GAUGAACGCUGGCGGCGUGCCUAAUACAUGCAAGUCGAGCGAACAGAUAAGGAGCUUGCUCCUUUGACGUUAGCGGCGGACGGGUGAGUAACACGUGGGUAACCUACCUAUAAGACUGGGAUAACUUCGGGAAACCGGAGCUAGUACCGGAUAAUAUUUCGAACCGCAUGGUUCGAUAGUGAAAGAUGGUUUUGCUAUCACUUAUAGAUGGACCCGCGCCGUAUUAGCUAGUUGGUAAGGUAACGGCUUACCAAGGCGACGAUACGUAGCCGACCUGAGAGGGUGAUCGGCCACACUGGAACUGAGACACGGUCCAGACUCCUACGGGAGGCAGCAGUAGGGAAUCUUCCGCAAUGGGCGAAAGCCUGACGGAGCAACGCCGCGUGAGUGAUGAAGGUCUUCGGAUCGUAAAACUCUGUUAUUAGGGAAGAACAUACGUGUAAGUAACUGUGCACGUCUUGACGGUACCUAAUCAGAAAGCCACGGCUAACUACGUG